UGCGCACUCCUUAAGGCCACUUUUAGAAUGUCUCCAAAUGCACUAAAUGCUUAUACAUAGGUAUAAGCAUUUCUUGCAUUGCUUGGCAUUCACCAGCUUUACCGCUGUUCAUUGAAAGUGCUUGAGUCAUAAGUGUGCUAUAGUAAUACAGUCUGGCAUCUUUUGUGCCCUUGCAUUGCAUUUGCUCUGGGUUCCCUCAUGCCAGAUAUAU